rnacentral:misc_RNA from 1 species
UCCAUUGAUGCAGGUCAGUUAUUUCCCCUCCUUUGAUUUCCUUCCUUGCGGAUAUUGAUCCUGGUCAAUGUGCGCGCCUGUGUGUUUGCUAAUUUGAACCCAUCGCAGCAAAGCAGGGCCAGGAGGCCAGUCAUGUUUUUCGAUAACGUGGUGUUUGCCGGAGUUCUGACGGUGGGGCUCAUGGUGCUGUUUUUUGCAGGGUUUGGAUUUUUUAUCUGGAAGGAUGCGCAUAAGCGGCGCAAGUGAGUUCUUCUGGAUUUGAUGGGCACGCAAGGCAUUUUGGGGCGACUUCGGUUGCCCCUU